rnacentral:rRNA from 1 species
AUGAACGCUGGCGGCGUGCCUAAUACAUGCAAGUCGAGCGAACAGAUGAGGAGCUUGCUCCUCUGACGUUAGCGGCGGACGGGUGAGUAACACGUGGAUAACCUACCUAUAAGACUGAGAUAACUUCGGGAAACCGGAGCUAAUACCGGAUAAUAUAUUGAACCGCAUGGUUCAAUAGUGAAAGACGGUUUUGCUGUCACUUAUAGAUGGAUCCGCGCCGCAUUAGCUAGUUGGUAAGGUAACGGCUUACCAAGGCAACGAUGCGUAGCCGACCUGAGAGGGUGAUCGGCCACACUGGAACUGAGACACGGUCCAGACUCCUACGGGAGGCAGCAGUAGGGAAUCUUCCGCAAUGGGCGAAAGCCUGACGGAGCAACGCCGCGUGAGUGAUGAAGGUCUUCGGAUCGUAAAACUCUGUUAUUAGGGAAGAACAAAUGUGUAAGUAACUAUGCACGUCUUGACGGUACCUAAUCAGAAAGCCACGGCUAACUACGUG